UGAUGCUACAUGUGUAGGUGAAGGAAAAGACGGUGUUAACGUGUUUUGAGUACCUCAGAUAUAGAGAAGCGCGUUUAGAAGUGAAAGCCCGUUUACCAUUUUACUCAUAUGAAUACAUUUUGAGGAAUAAUAUAGUAAAACUUCAAAUCCACUUGUCUUACUUCAUGAAUGCUCUGAGUCAUUUGUCAUCAAAUCAAUUAUUCAAUACAUUCGUUGUUUGAGUUACUGGACUAAAUGUAAAUAAAGCUUUACAUUGGUUUUCCUCCAACCAUUUGAGUUGAAUAACUCAUCUGGUUCGAUGUUAUCCCCGAAUGGGUUUACCAUUGUGUCUGCACAGUCUGCGUACGCAAACCCAAAAUGUCACCUGUGAUGCCCGGGACGGGUAUAAGUUCCAGUUUCACCCGAGGCUCGUUUCCUACAGCGUGAACACGACAAUUCUGAGUGAGCGGGCGCGCUGGCGGUUAUCCAGGAUUCAUAGAACCACAGUCACAUCAGUCAUAUUUGUAUAACAAUGUAAGUAAAUAUUCCUCACACACUGAGCAGUCUUUGAAAUAUCCAAAACAAAAGUAUCACUUUCUCUUCAUUUUGUCUGAAAAGUUGUCCUCGACUUUUUCCCAUUCAAACGGAACUGUUAGCACUCUGUUGUCUUGAAAGCGGUCCCCAAAAAAUAAAUAAUAAUCAUCUGCCGUGUUUGCAGACUUAGCAGCAGCGAGUUGAGGGAACAAAAGUUUUUUUUUGCCAAAGAUUUCCCGACUAUUCCCCGCGCUGGCGCUUAAUCCCCAGUAAUUAGUCUUCUUGUUUGCCGAGGAAUAUCCUUCUCGCUGCCGUUUCUUCCCCCCGCGUGAGUCAGGAGAUAAAAGUGCGUCAGGAAAAAACAAAACCAAAAAAAAAAAAAACACGUGUCCUCUUCCGCCUUGUAAACACUCGCCGUCUCUUUCUGAAGCGCACUUAUGUGACGCGUGCUCAUUAAUCAUUUCUGUUUGCUGCACUCAAGCUCGCCAGGCUAAUUAUGUUCCACAAGGAAUGGCCAUUAGAAUUUCUACCGCAUAAAUUCAUUUCCAACCGACCCCCCCCCCCCCCCCCCCCAUGGACCCCCAACCACCACCGCAUGCGUUCAGACAUAAAAAUGGGAAAUCGUUUUUCUUCCCGGAUUUUUUUUACGGCGGGAUAAUGAGUCGCGCGCGCGUGUACGGUACGCCGCGUUGGUCGGGUGCACCCGCGCGGGACAUCUGUCUAUUUUCAGCUAUAGCUGCCGGGCAGCCGAGCGCUGGCCUGUUUUACAUGGAUAGCAAAUAGCUAUUAGGCCUAACUGCCAGCCAGUUAGCCGGCGGCCAUCUGCCGCACGCUGCAAUUAUGUGGCGGGAAAUAUACUCGUUAUGAGUGCGCCGCGCAUUAACGACCCGGCGCGGCACUAAAUACGCUGGCGGAGAAGAAGGGAAGAUUUUUUUUUUGAGGGAAAACACGUUUUUUUUCCAGGGCGGAAUGUGUGGUGGUAAGAUGUGUUGCGUUUAGGGCAAAGAUGGUAGCUGACAUGUAGCAGCGUGGCUAUAAUAGUAGUUGUUGGGUUUCAAAUUAGGGUUUCAAGGCAAGGUGGGGAUGUAUUUGGUAUUCAAGUCAGGAUUUGGAAUAUAAUUCUGGUUUCAAGGUUGCGUUUGGGUUUCGGAUAUGGAUUUUAAUGAAGAGGUUCAAGACAGGUUUAGGGUUUCAAAGUCGGGAUUCCAGACCGGGUCAGAGUUUCAAAUUAAGAUUUCACGAUAGAGUUAAUGUUUCAAAAUAGGGUCUCAAGACAGUAUUAUGGUUUUAAAUUGGGGUUCAAAGACAGGGAUAAGGUUUCAAAUUAGGGUUUCAAGACAGGAUUAUGGUUUUAAAUUGGGGUUCAAAGACAGGGAUAAGGUUUCAAAUUAGGGUUUCAAGACAGGAUUAUGGUUUUAAAUUGGGGUUCAAAGACAGGGAUGAGGUUUCAAAAUAGGGUCUCAAGACAGGAUUAUGGUUUUAAAUUGGGGUUCAAAGACAGGGAUAAGGUUUCAAAUUAGGGUUUCAAGACAGGAUUAUGGUUUUAAAUUGGGGUUCAAAGACAGGGAUAAGGUUUCAAAUUAGGGUUUCAAGACAGGAUUAUGGUUUUAAAUUGGGGUUCAAUGACAGGGAUAAGGUUUCAAAUUAGGGUUUCAAGACAGGAUUAUGGUUUUAAAUUGGGGUUCAAAGACAGGGAUAAGGUUUCAAAUUAGGGUUUCAAGACAGGAUUAUGGUUUUAAAUUGGGGUUCAAAGACAGGGAUAAGGUUUCAAAUUAGGGUUUCAAGACAGGAUUCUGAUUUUAAAUUGGUGUUUCAUGCCUGGAUCAAGGUUGUAAAUUUGGGUUCCAAUACAGGGUUACGGUUUCAAAUGAAGAUGUCAAAGUCAGGUUUCAAGACUGGGUUAGGAUUUUAAACUAUGGUCAAUGUAUUGUGUUUAGGGUUUUUAAACAGAUGGUACAUGUUGAAAUGAGGGUUUUGAGUCUAGUUGGGGUUUGAAAUUUUUUGAAGCCUACAGUAGCUUUUCAAAUGAGUGUUGAGUCUUCGCUUGACACGCUAGUUGAGGCUUCACUUCCUCCUCCAAUUGCUUCAAUUGGGUCCCGCUUUGAGUCGGCGCUCGUUUUCCUCCGUCACAUUGCAGCAAUGCCGCAACACCUCCAAGCUUCUCUGCCAACGAGUAAUUAGAAGCCUCUGAUAAACUUUGCCAGCGAGCACUUAUCUCAAAUCCGGGUCAUUGUCUUUGCGCACACGCACGCACGCACAAAAUUGGUCCCUUCGUGGCCGCCACCAUCCUGGAAGCGAGCCACAUCCGACGCCGGCGAUAAUCGCGCAGAUUGUUAACAUCGACCGGGGCGCUGCCGCGUCCGCAAUUGUGCACCAAGCGGCCACCGAAUCGUAAAGGAUGUGACGGUGGCUACUUCAAGGGUUGGGUUUCAAGCUAGGGUUUUAAGACUGGGUUAGAGUUUCAAAUUGAGGGUUAAGGUUUCAAACUAGGGUUAAGGUGUGAGGGGUGUAAGGGUUUGAAGUCUGGGUUCCGGUUUUAAAUUAGGGUUUCAGGAAUGUGUUGGUGUUUUCACAUUGGAUUCAAAUUGGGUUUAAGGUUUCAAAUGAUAGUUGUAAAGGGAGGGUUAGAGUUUCAAAUUAGUGUUUGAAGCUUGAGUUGGGGUUUCAAUUUAGGGUUUCAAAGGAGGGUUAAGGUUUCAAAAUGUGGUUUUAAGGAGGAUUAGCGUUUCAUAUUAGGGUUUAAAUCUUGAUUUAGGGUUUCAAGAGCUUGAAGACAUUGUUAGGUUUUGAAAUUCAGAUUUUAGAGAAUAAUUAAGGUUUCAAAUGACGGUUUGAAGCCUGUGUGAUGGUUAGGUCGGGGUUCAAGUUGUCUUCAGGGUUUCAAAUGAGGAUGUCAAGCCAGGAUUAUGGUUUCAAAGAUGGGUUAUGGUUUCAAGGCAUGGUUUUGAGCCCUCAGUUGUGGCCGUGUGUGAAACACUUGAAUUGGUUGCGAUGUGAGGAAAGACCUUCCCCCCCCCCCCCAUUUCCUCUCUCGUGCGUGUUUGGGUCUCACUCGGAUUCCUGCGUUACCACGACGACGGCAUGUUUCCCUCAUCUCUCCUUUGUCACUGUUACCAUGGCAAUGUGUCUCUUUGCCUGCCCGCUACCUGUUUGCCUCUCACCGUCCUCUCCCAUUUCCUCCCCCCCCUUUUCUUUCUCUCCGUUUGACUUUUUUGUAGUUUCUCUUUUCUCUCCUGAUCCCAUCAUUUGGCGAUUUGCAACGACAUUUGUUUUUUUUUUUGUUUGUAUGUUUUUUUACUACCAAGAGAGAUUAAGGCUUUUUUUUAUAGAAAGCAGCUGUUGCCAUGGCGACACAAGUUUUGGAUUUGCCGUGCGUGGCUACGGUUGAAUGGGGCGAUUGAAAAGAACGCUUGAAUUUGCCUUUAAUGCCAAAAUGCAGACGGGAGCCUUUUUUUUUUUUGACGGGAAGACAGACAACUCGGAUAUGAUUUAAGAAGGAAAAAGCUGCCUUCUUGUAAAACAAUGCUUUUUAAUUUCAUGCUGUCAGUCAUGCGUCGAUGACUGCUGCACAAAGCACAUGGCUCAUGCCGCGCGGAUUUUCCGUUUGAGGAAAAGUCACGAAUAAUAAUGUCACCUAAAAUGUUUUUGGGUUUAUGUCAUGACAUGAGGUCAGAUUGACAAAGAAAAGGGGUCAUUCCUCAUCGAGGCCUUCAAGAAAUAUGACUUAAUGUGGUUUGUUUCAAAUUUACUUUUUACCUUUCGACACUUAUUGCAAGUCACAUUUGACAUUUUCAAAAAUAAAUCCAUAUUUUUUUUGCAUCAUUCCAUCAUGGCAGGAGUUCAGACUGGCAAAAUAGUGACACAGUUCGAAAUUUCUCAUCAAGGUCUCGAAUUUGAUGCGUGACUCAUUAUGUGGUUUGUGGAGAAUUACAGUUUAGAGCAGCCGAUUCUUUAACUUCAUUUGACAUACAUUAUUGCAUCAGCACGUCAGGUCUUAUUGCCAA